rnacentral:lncRNA from 1 species
AACCGUCGUAGAAGAUGGACAUGGAGGUGGAGGAGUAGUGGAUUGAGGUGAUGUUAGGAUUGGUGACGUGGACAGUGAGGAGAAGGUCGGCGUCGAGGACGGGGAGAUUGAGCUUGAAGGAGGUAAAGCUGAUUGAAAUUAAAUGGAAAGUCGGGUCUUUUGGCUUUGCGUUGAGAAGAGCUGUUACUGCUGUAGCUGAUGCUGCUCCGAUCAAAGCGGAGCUCCAGCUCCAUUUUACCUUCUUGCUCGUCAUCACUCUAUUUCUUUAGAUUUAAUUUAAUUUAAAAUCUAAUUCUAUUUUAUUUUAUUUUUGGGGAUUGUUGCAGAGGAGAAGAGAUGAUAGUAUAGCGGCGGUGGAGGUCAAGUUAGGAGGAGAAUUCGGCGUUUCUGAAGAAGACACAAUUACUCCGGGAGUGUAUUUUGACAGGUUUCACGUGGUGG